UGACCGCUGGCGGCGUGCCUAAUACAUGCACGUCGAGCGAACGGACGAGAAGCUUGCUUCUCUGAUGUUAGCGGCGGACGGGUGAGUAACACGUGGAUAACCUACCUAUAAGACUGGGAUAACUUCGGGAAACCGGAGCUAAUACCGGAUAAUAUUUUGAACCGCAUGGUUCAAAAGUGAAAGACGGUCUUGCUGUCACUUAUAGAUGGAUCCGCGCUGCAUUAGCUAGUUGGUAAGGUAACGGCUUACCAAGGCAACGAUGCAUAGCCGACCUGAGAGGGUGAUCGGCCACACUGGAACUGAGACACGGUCCAGACUCCUACGGGAGGCAGCAGUAGGGAAUCUUCCGCAAUGGGCGAAAGCCUGACGGAGCAACGCCGCGUGAGUGAUGAAGGUCUUCGGAUCGUAAAACUCUGUUAUUAGGGAAGAACAUAUGUGUAAGUAACUGUGCACAUCUUGACGGUACCUAAUCAGAAAGCCACGGCUAACUACGUG
rnacentral:rRNA from 1 species